rnacentral:rRNA from 1 species
AACACAUGCAAGUCGAACGGGCGUAGCAAUACGUCAGCGGCAGACGGGUGAGUAACGCGUGGGAACGUACCUUUUGCUACGGAAUAACUCAGGGAAACUUGUGCUAAUACCGUAUGUGCCCUUCGGGGGAAAGAUUUAUCGGCAAAGGAUCGGCCCGCGUUGGAUUAGCUAGUUGGUGAGGUAAAGGCUCACCAAGGCGACGAUCCAUAGCUGGUCUGAGAGGAUGAUCAGCCACCCUGGGACUGAGACACGGCCCAGACUCCUACGGGAGGCAGCAGUGGGGAAUAUUGGACAAUGGGCGCAAGCCUGAUCCAGCCAUGCCGCGUGAGUGAUGAAGGCCCUAGGGUUGUAAAGCUCUUUCACCGGUGAAGAUAAUGACGGUAACCGGAGAAGAAGCCCCGGCUAACUUCGUGCCAGCAGCCGCGGUAAUAC